AAAAAAGGUAAGCUACUAAGAGCGAAUGGUGGAUGCCUUGACUGGUAAAGGCGAUGAAGGACGUACUAGACUGCGAUAAGCUACGGGGAGCUGUCAAGAAGCUUUGAUCCGUAGAUUUCCGAAUGGGGCAACCCAAUGUAUAGAGAUAUACAUUACCUAUAUAGGAGCGAACGAGGGGAAUUGAAACAUCUUAGUACCCUCAGGAAAAGAAAUCAAUAGAGAUUGCGUCAGUAGCGGCGAGCGAAAGCGCAAGAGGGCAAACCCAGUGCUUGCACUGGGGGUUGUAGGACUGCAAUGUGCAAGAGGUGAGUUUAGCAGAACAUUCUGGAAAGUAUAGCCAUAGAGGGUGAUAGUCCCGUAUGCGAAAAACAAACCUUAGCUAGCAGUAUCCUGAGUAGGGCGGGACACGAGAAAUCCUGUCUGAAGCUGGGUCGACCACGAUCCAACCCUAAAUACUAAUACCAGAUCGAUAGUGCACAAGUACCGUGAGGGAAAGGUGAAAAGAACUGAGGUGAUCAGAGUGAAAUAGAACCUGAAACCAUUUGCUUACAAUCAUUCAGAGCCCUAUGUAGCAAUACAGGGUGAUGGACUGCCUUUUGCAUAAUGAGCCUGCGAGUUGUGGUGUCUGGCAAGGUUAAGCAAACGCGAAGCCGUAGCGAAAGCGAGUCUGAAUAGGGCGCUUAGUCAGAUGCUGCAGACCCGAAACGAAGUGAUCUAUCCAUGAGCAAGUUGAAGCUAGUGUAAGAACUAGUGGAGGACUGAACCCAUAGGCGUUGAAAAGCCCCGGGAUGACUUGUGGAUAGGGGUGAAAGGCCAAUCAAACUUCGUGAUAGCUGGUUCUCUCCGAAAUAUAUUUAGGUAUAGCGUUGUGUCGUAAUAUAAGGGGGUAGAGCACUGAAUGGGCUAGGGCAUACACCAAUGUACCAAACCCUAUCAAACUCCGAAUACCUUAUAUGUAAUCACAGCAGUCAGGCGGCGAGUGAUAAAAUCCGUCGUCAAGAGGGAAACAACCCAGACUACCAGCUAAGGUCCCUAAAUCUUACUUAAGUGGAAAACGAUGUGAAGUUACUUAAACAACCAGGAGGUUGGCUUAGAAGCAGCCAUCCUUUAAAGAAAGCGUAAUAGCUCACUGGUCUAGUGAUUUUGCGCGGAAAAUAUAACGGGGCUAAAGUAAGUACCGAAGCUGUAGACUUGCGCACAACUUAGAUUAUUUAAGUUUAGAAUAUGAGAAACUAAGUUAUAUGUUUAGUUAUAUUUUUACUGAUUUUUAUAGAGUAAAGAUAGAAAUAAAACUUAGUAAAAUCAGUAAAAAUAUUCUUAGACUAAAGUUAAGUAGUUUAAGUUGUGUGCAAGUGGUAGGAGAGCGUUCUAUUUGCGUCGAAGGUAUACCGGUAAGGAGUGCUGGAGCGAAUAGAAGUGAGCAUGCAGGCAUGAGUAGCGAUAAUUAAUGUGAGAAUCAUUAACGCCGUAAACCCAAGGUUUCCUACGCGAUGCUCGUCAUCGUAGGGUUAGUCGGGUCCUAAGUCGAGUCCGAAAGGGGUAGACGAUGGCAAAUUGGUUAAUAUUCCAAUACCAACAUUAGUGUGCGAUGGAAGGACGCU
rnacentral:rRNA from 1 species